rnacentral:lncRNA from 1 species
GUUUAUAAACUGGAAUCAGCAAUUCAGCAUAACUUAUUUUGAUUUUUUAAUUUUUUUUAAAGCAGGUAAGUAUUACAAUAAGAGCCGGAGAGGCAUACAAAAGAGGAAGGCCGAGAAGCUUCCAAUACUAAACAGAAUAUAAUACAUAAACAGAACCCUACCACAAAACAAAAGGAACUACAAUCCAGGAUAGCUUAGGUACGAAUGUGCUAGCAGUUUUCCGGAUUUGUCGAGGUGUAUAAAAACUGACCCGGACAUCAUACCGAAUCAUAAAAAAGAGGAAGAAAUUAGAAGUCGUGAGCUGCUUGAAAAUCUCCCAUGAACACACAACUGCUUCCAUAUCUGUAUCCGUACCCGAAAUCCUCCUUCAUGGCUUCAUGAACAGCAACGACUUGUGGAGACCGGAGCCUCCAUCUGAUCCUUAUCAACAGCAAAGCAGUCUUCCUGAAAUGCACAUCCACCAUGCACUACUCCUGCACCACUAAAAUGGUUAGGCCCAAAAUCCGCUCGACUACGCAUAAUAUCUUAUUAUUACAUUACAAAUUUUUAUAUCCAAUACAUUAUAAAUUACCAAUAAAUUUAUCCAAACCGAUCGAAACUUAUAAGUCAUAAGUUAUUUUUCACCAAGUAAUUCCGAAAUAACUUAAUUUGAUUUGAACCAAAUACACACGUUAAUUCAUUCACCCAUCUCAUGCCUUGAUUAUAGUCAAAUUUGGUGAGCUAAGCAAUUGCAAGGAGAUGAGUAUUUUUGUCAAAAGACGCUAGAAUAACGCUAUUACUGUAAUAUACUGCAUUACUUGCUCCUCAAGUGUUCUGGAUUAUAUAAUACAGUAAUUCAACAGGGUAGUUCACUAGUAGCUAAAAAACUAACAAGAAAAUGUAUUUAAAUAAAUCUUCAUAAUAGAUAACAUUAUUUCCGCGUUGACAUAGAAUUUACGUAAUGGAAUACGAAACAAAAUUAUCAUUACAAAUGUGCCGAGACCAUGGAGCCUGGUGAUAAAUAUAGACUGCAACAUAGUACAGAACCAGGAUUACCGAUCUCCAUCAGAAACUAGACUAGAGAUAUACUUCUCAAUUUCUAUCUGCAAAUCAGCUU